ensembl:lncRNA
GUGGGGCAGGAGGGGGGGACAUUUAUAGUUUUGAAGGAUUUUUUUUCAGUACUGGGUGCCUAAUAUAAUGGGGCACAAUCCGAGGUGAUUCUAUAGUGAUGCAUCAUACCGUCCCAUCAGUUGAGUCCCAACUUCAAAGUGCCAAGUUCAGGAAGUGAAACACUGAACCGGAACGGUGUGUCAAGUGGUGUGUCGUCCACAUGGGCCUUAUGGACUCUCAGCCCUGAAAAUGCUUCUGCAACUAAACAAAGUCAUCUUUGCCUUGGCCCGAGAACCAAAUGUAUAUAUCCUCCCUGCCUGCAUGUGAGGAGGAGAGGAAAGGACGAAAAGAUGUACAGGCGGCUCCAUACACUAUACCUGCCCUAUGACCUCACACUUGAUAUUGCUAUUAGUUUGCAUGUCAAGUGACACCACCUGGUACAAUAUCAGUCAAUCAGAAAGAGCAAAUGUAAUGGCCUUUGUUUCCCCAUAGGUGGUGCUGUCUCUGAUGUUUUGGUACCACACGUGAGGGCACGUAAGCUCAAGGAUAGCUUGGUCACCCCUCCCUGUACACAGCGAUGGUCUACACUGUGCAUGUCAAGUGUCAGUCUGUAGCCUAUUUAUCUAGAUGACCAAUGUGCUACGGCAAUGCUCCAUUUCGUUUUACUAGUAUGAGACCAGUAGUGAAUGUAUUUAUGUGUUUAUUCAGUGUAGCAUUCAAGGAGGUGCCAGAAUGCUAUUGCGCAAAUGAGGCAAAAUGGUCCAAACAAGCCUGAUGUGUCAUUUAACAUUUGUCCAACAUAAUACAUAACAAAACAAAUUAAUAUUACUUAAGCCUUAGUCCACUUUUGUCCAUUUGUGAUGGAUGGUAAAUACCUCGAAAAAUGACUCAUUAACAACGUAUGACCUAAAUGUUUGAAAAUGUAGGUACAUUUCAUCUUAAGGUGGGCUGUGUAUGCCUUUCAUCUUUUGGUCAAAUAGUCACAUCUGAAUGAUUUUUACACAGAUCAGCCUGCCAUAUUCACCGCAUAGUUAACCUGUCUUCUUGGCUUUCGCCUUUAGAUGUAGGGUCCUUUAAUUAGCUUUACUUCACUUUUGUUUUUGUUUGUUUUUUAAUCUUUCAAAUUAAGCAAACUGAGCUACCUAACAUAGCCGCUGAAGAUCUGUGCAGCCCUCCCAUUGAGCAAUGUUGAGAAUUCACCUUCACCCAACCGUCCCAUUUAAAAACCACUUGUACACAAGACUGUGAAUCGAAGCCAAAUCUAUUUUGUAUUUAAAAAGAGGAAAAAAACAUUUUUUGUGGCAUUUAACAAUAUCAUUGGAGACUCUUUCAGAUUUGUAAGAAAAAAACAAAUUUUGUUGUGAAAAGCAUAUGCCAUUACCCAUUAAAAACGGUUUACAUGAAUAUCCUUUACCGAGAGAGGCCUUUUGUUUGUAUUAUGUCUGAACAUUUUUUGCACAAAUGUUUUGUAUUGCAACAAAAAAAUGUUUUUAUUAAAUGGUG